UCAGGAUAAACGCUGGCGGCGCACAUAAGACAUGCAAGUCGAACGGACUUAACUCAUCUUUAGAUUGAGAGCGGUUAGUGGCGGACUGGUGGGUAACGCGUAAGGAACCUGCCUAAUAGAGGGGGAAUAACAGUGAGAAAUCAUUGCGAAUACCGCAUAUGCUCACAGUACCACAUGGUACAGUGAGGAAAGGAGCAAUCCGCUAUUAGAUGGCCUUGCGUCUGAUUAGCUAGUUGGUGGGGUAAUGGCCUACCAAGGCGACGAUCAGUAGCCGGACUGAGAGGUUGAACGGCCACAUUGGGACUGAGAUACGGCCCAGACUCCUACGGGAGGCAGCAGUCGGGAAUAUUGCGCAAUGGAGGAAACUCUGACGCCAGUGACGCCGCGUAUAGGAUGUAAGGUUUUCGGAUUGUAAACUAUUGUCAUUAGGGAAGAUAAAAGACUGUACCUAAAGAGGAAGCACCGGCUAACUAUGUGCCAGCAGCCGC
rnacentral:rRNA from 1 species